rnacentral:rRNA from 1 species
UACGUAGGGUCCAAGCGUUAUCCGGAAUCACUGGACGUAAAGCGUGCGUAGGUGGCGCGUUAAGUGAGAUGUUAAAUCGUGGGGGCUCAACCCUGUCGGUGCAUCUCAUACUGGCGUGCUAGAGGACAGCAGAGGCAAGUGGAAUUAGCAGUGUAGCAGUGAAAUGCGUAGAUAUUGCUAGGAACACCAAUGGCGAAGGCAGCUUGCUGGGCUACUCCUGACACUGAGGUACGAAAAGCGUGGGGAGCGAACAGG